CACGGGCGGACGAACGGACGGAGGCACAGACCAGAAAACAUAAUGCCCCUCUACUAUCGUAGGUGGGGCAUAAAAACUGCUAUCUUUAUAACGCCCAAGUUUCGCCUUAGUUGUUAAAAAAAUAAUGAUCUGAAUAAAAUCGAGAAUGGAACUUUACAAAAUUCAGAUAUCCAAAAUCUGAAUUCCAUAUAUACAUUUCAUAAUUAG
rnacentral:lncRNA from 1 species